UACGUAGGGUGCGAGCGUUGUCCGGAAUUACUGGGCGUAAAGAGCUCGUAGGUGGUUUGUCGCGUUGUCCGUGAAAACUCACAACUCAAUUGUGGGCGUGCGGGCGAUACGAGCAGACUAGAGUGUUGCAGGGGAGACUGGAAGUUCCUGGUGUAGCGGUGAAAUGCGCAGAUAUCAGGAGGAACACCGGUGGCGAAGGCGGGGUCUCUGGGCAAGCAACUGACGCUGAGGAGCGAAAGCGUGGGGAGCGAACAGG
rnacentral:rRNA from 1 species